AUAAUGAUAUGGGACGUCCUUUUUAAACCAAACAUGAUAUGAUCUGCAUACAACUAAAAGUUUGAAUAUCGACUUAUAUAAAUUUGUCUUAUUCCAAAUUAUUGAAUAUAUUAUAUCAGUAAUAAAAUACACAUUUAUCGAUGUCACUUUCAUACACGUUUUAAUGAAGUACAACUGUUUUUUUCGAGGCAAUUGCGAAAGUGCCGACAACACUUAUUUGUUGCAAUAUUUUUUGACCGAACCCGAAAAACACAUGGCCAAGACCCGACAUGGAGCUCAUUUUUUCCCGAACAAAUACAAGAAUGUGAUUAACAAACCCUCGCCGUUUUCAUUUGACAUGCUACCCGUGUUUUUUUUUUUUAAAAAAAAUCAAAAAAAUAAAACAAAACCUAAACAAACCCUCGCCGUUUUCAUUUGACAUAUUCAUUCUCUCAACCCUAAACAAACUCACUCACUCGUCGCCUCCUAUCCGUCGUUGGCUCGUCGGUCGUAUGUUCGUCGCUUCUUCUCAGUCGUCGGUCGUCGCAUCUUCUCAGUCGUCGGCUUUUCACUUCCUCUUAGUGGUCGCCUCCUCUCAGUCGUCGCCGUUGGUCGUCGCGUCGUCGGAGUCUCAGAGAAAAUCAGAAAAUGUUUGAACUUUGAAUAAAUCGGCCGAGUUCUCCGAGCCUCAGUUAGUCCGAUUUCGACAGGCAGUUCACAGAAAGAAUCACAGUUGUUCAGUAACAGAAAUCCAGAAGCGGAAGGGCCAAACUAAUCAAGUCCAUCAAGCAGUGAGUCAUGAAUUUCCCUAAAAUUAUGUGUUCAUGGUGUCAUAUUGGAGCUGUCAAAUUAAGGAAAAUAAGGUGGUUUUCAUGUAAGUUUCUAAUUAUUUUAAUGAAGUUCAAAAUUCAAGAUAUCAUGAAUAGAUAUUUAUAGUUACUAUAACGGUUGUAAAUAAUGGUGAAUAAAAUUGCUACCUGAAUCCUUCUAGUUGUGGCUUUGAUGCUGUUAAAUAAGUAUUUUUAGUCAAUCUGGAAAGGUUUGUGCUGCUGACUUGCUGAUGUUUGUUUUUGCACGAUCAUUGUUGUUCAUGUACUUAAUCUUGUGUUAUUGCAGCGGUUGCGAUGCUUUUUAGUUGUUUACGGUGCAAGUUGUCGUGCCAUUGCGUGCUACUACUACCGGCUAAGCCAAUUUAUGUACAAGUUAUUACAACUUUGUUAAACUAAUAUUUGUUAUUAAACUAAUAUUUACUAUAUGCAUGUGUUGCAGGUGCUUGCGGAAUCCAACUAUUCAAACAAUUGAAGAAUAAUAUGAGGAAGAAAAUAGCAUGACACUAACAAAGACUGAGGCAAUUGAAAAAUGGAAUGACACUAUUCAAACUAUUAGAUAUCUUUUUUUUUCUCUCUUGUAGUUUCCAAUUUCUUUUUAGUGUAACAAUUGUGAACAACCAACUAGACAUGUUAGUUGAUUAAGGUGUUUAUAUAAAUGACAAUUAUUUUUUAUCUAUAUAGUAGCUUUUUAUUGAUUCAUUAAAUUAUUUUGUUUGUUUACUUUUAGUAUUAA